GAUGAAGAACGCAGCGAAAUGCGAUAAGUAAUGUGAAUUGCAGAAUUCAGUGAAUCAUCGAAUCUUUGAACGCACAUUGCGCCCGCCAGUAUUCUGGCGGGCAUGCCUGUUCGAGCGUCAUUACAACCCUCAGGCCCCCGGGCCUGGCGUUGGGGAUCGGCGAGGCGCCCCCCGCGGGCACGCGCCGUCCCCCAAAUACAGUGGCGGUCCCGCCGCAGCUUCCAUUGCGUAGUAGCUAACACCUCGCAACUGGAGAGCGGCGCGGCCACGCCGUAAAACACCCAACUCUUCUGAAGUUGACCUCGAAUCAGGUAGGAAUACCCGCUGAACUUAAGCAUAUCAAUAAGCGGAGGA
rnacentral:misc_RNA from 1 species